AUUGAACGCUGGCGGAAUGCUUUACACAUGCAAGUCGAACGGCAGCAUAGAGAGCUUGCUCUCUGAUGGCGAGUGGCGAACGGGUGAGUAAUAUAUCGGAACGUGCCUAGUAAUGGGGAAUAACUAGCUGAAAGGUUAGCUAAUGCCGCAUACGACCUACGGGUGAAAGCAGGGGAUCUUCGGACCUUGCGUUAUUAGAGCGGCCGAUAUCUGAUUAGCUUGUUGGUGGGGUAAUGGCCUACCAAGGCGACGAUCAGUAGCUGGUCUGAGAGGACGAUCAGCCACACUGGAACUGAGACACGGCCCAG
rnacentral:rRNA from 1 species